AUGACUUGUGGAUAGCGGAGAAAUUCCAAUCGAACUCGGAGAUAGCUGGUUCUCCCCGAAAUAGCUUUAGGGCUAGCGUUAUUUUAGAUUACCGGAGGUAAAGCACUGAAUGGUCUAGGGGCCGCGAGGUUACCAAAGCCUAUCAAACUCUGAAUGCCGGAUAAUUGAUGAAUAGCAGUCAGACUGUGUGAGAUAAGUCUCAUAGUCAAAAGGGAAACAGCCCAGAUCUACAGCUAAGGUCCCAAAUGAACACUAAGUGGAAAAUGAUGUGAAACUGCGAAGACAACCAGGAUGUUGGCUUAGAAGCAGCCACUCAUUCAAAGAGUGCGUAAUAGCUCACUGGUCGAGUGGUUUUGCGCAGAAAAUGUAACGGGGCUAAGUGUUCAACCGAAGCUUAGGCAUUGCAGUAAUGCAUUGGGUAGGGGAGCGUCGUAUGCGGGGCGAAGUCAGAGCGGAAGCACUGGUGGACUGCAUACGAGUGAGAAUGCCGGAAUAAGUAGCGAGAAUUAUGUGAGAAUCAUAAUGGCCGAAAAUCUAAGGUUUCCUGGGGAAGGUUCGUCCGCCCAGGGUUAGUCGGGAGCUAAGCUCAGGCCGAGAGGCGUAGGCGAUGCACAUACGGUAGAAAUUCCGUAACCACCGAACAUUUAAGCUAGAGGGACGCUUUCUUUAAGGUUAUCCCGGGCGAUGGUUGCCCCGGGCGUAAGGGACCGAAAUAUAGUAGGGAAGUAACUGGCGAGAGAGACGAGAAAAGCUCUAGUGUAUACUAAGGUGCCCGUACCGCAAACCGACACAGGUAGAAGGGAUGAGUAUUCUAAGGCCAACGGGAGAAGGGUUGUUAAGGAACUCGGCAAAUUGGCCCCGUAACUUCGGGAUAAGGGGCGCCUGCGAGAGCAGGCCGCAGUGAAAAGGCCCAAGCGACUGUUUAGCAAAAACACAGCUCUCUGCUAAAUCGAAAGAUGACGUAUAGGGGGUGACGCCUGCCCGGUGCUGGAAGGUUAAGGGGAGUGCUUAGCGCAAGCGAAGGUGCGAACUUAAGCCCCAGUAAACGGCGGCCGUAACUAUAACGGUCCUAAGGUAGCGAAAUUCCUUGUCAGGUAAGUUCUGACCCGCACGAAUGGCGUAACGAUUUGGGCGCUGUCUCAACAGCCCACCCGGCGAAAUUGUAGUACCGGUGAAGAUGCCGGUUACCCGCAACUAGACGGAAAGACCCCAUGGAGCUUCACUGUAGCUUGAUAUUGGAUCUCGGUAUUCCAUGUACAGGAUAGGUGGGAGACUUGGAAGUAAGCGCGCCAGCGUUUAUGGAGUCAACCUUGGGAUACCACUCUUGGGAUAUUGGGAUUCUAACCUGCGACCAUGAAUCUGGUCGGGGGACACUGUCAGGUGGGCAGUUUGACUGGGGCGGUCGCCUCCAAAAGAGUA
rnacentral:rRNA from 1 species